GAAUGAUUUAUGUUUGAUGGCCUUAAUUAUUUCUAUGAAGUAGAGUUUAGGUCAUCUGCUUAGAAAGGGAGUAAAUUGGUCUUGGGUGGCACUUAAAACACUUAAGUGGUAAAAGUAUAGAAUGGUCAUUUGGACAAUGGGAAAAGCAGUUGAUCAUAGAUUUGUAAAAAUAAUGUAGAGUUUUACUUAGGAUCCAGAUAGCUUUAAGACAUAUUACCUUCAAAUGAAACAUUUGAAUGCUUACAACAGACUAUAUACUAAAAAAUCACAUAUGUUAUGUCAUUUAUUCCUCACAAUAACUGUGUGUGAUGGGAGGGGGAGUGGUUAUUCCUCUUGUACAGAUGUAGAAACUGAAGCUCAGAGAAGUGAAAUGACUUAUCUAGUUCACACAUUUAGUAAGUGCAAGUUUUGAACCCAAGUCUUCUGAUUUCAAGUUUAGUGCUCCUUAUAAUUUGUUUCUUCAACCCAAAGGGGAAAACAAGGUUAUGAGAAGUAUAAGGGAUCUCUGAGUGACAAGUGAAAUUACAUAUUCAAUACCGAAGUCUUUCACUUCAAAUCUCAGUUACAAACUUCUAGUGUUCCCAUAAAUGCAACAGUGGAAGAGAAAUAUGCUUGAACAUGCUUGACUUACAAUGAAGAAGAAAA
rnacentral:lncRNA from 1 species